GACGAACGCUGGCGGCGUGCUUAACACAUGCAAGUCGAACGAAGAGCGAUGGAAGCUUGCUUCUAUCAAUCUUAGUGGCGAACGGGUGAGUAACGCGUAAUCAACCUGCCCUUCAGAGGGGGACAACAGUUGGAAACGACUGCUAAUACCGCAUACGAUCUAACCUCGGCAUCGAGGAAAGAUGAAAGGUGGCCUCUAUGUAUAAGCUAUCACUGAAGGAGGGGAUUGCGUCUGAUUAGCUAGUUGGAGGGGUAACGGCCCACCAAGGCGAUGAUCAGUAGCCGGUCUGAGAGGAUGGACGGCCACAUUGGGACUGAGACACGGCCCAGACUCCUACGGGAGGCAGCAGUGGGGAAUCUUCCGCAAUGGACGAAAGUCUGACGGAGCAACGCCGCGUGAGUGAUGACGGCCUUCGGGUUGUAAAGCUCUGUUAAUCGGGACGAAAGGCCUUCUUGCGAAUAGUGAGAAGGAUUGACGGUACCGGAAUAGAAAGCCACGGCUAACUACGUG
rnacentral:rRNA from 1 species